AUAGUCUAUUGAGAAAGUCCAACUCUAUGAACCCUAUAAAUCUUCCAAGUCCUAGCACUUGGUGAAGUAUUAACAUAUACAGUAAUCUGCCGAGAGGAAGUGAGUAACAGCCACAGAGACACAUAAACACACGCGUGUGUGUAUAUUGUGUUCGACUGCAAGCUAUGUGGCGGAGGCACCAAAGUUGUAUCUUCAAUGUCCUAUUUUAGCGAAUUUUGAAGAUGAGGCUUGAAUCAAGGACUGUAGAAGCUUGAUCUUGAUCGGACUUGAACCACGAGUAGUGUCACAUGGUAAGUGUUGACUUAAUCAAGGGUUGUGGAAGCUUUAUCUUGAUCGGACUUGAACCACGAGUGGUGUCACAUGGUAAGCGUUCUUCAGAUUUGAUGGCGAAUGAAUCGACACGUGUGUCUGGUGCUUGUUAAUCUUCUACGAGCUUGAUGAGAAACUUAGGUGUUUAAGUGUUGGACCUUGCAGAUAAUUUUUCUUCUUGCUAGAGGUUUCGUCUAGAAUUCUGAAGGCCCCUCUUUUGAGCAAAUGGUUGUUAUUUUUAUGAAUGCAAUUGAGUUUCAAUUUGGAACCGUCAAUUAUCAUUCAUUCAUUUCUGCAAUCAAGUCCUAGUUCGG